rnacentral:rRNA from 1 species
CCCUUCAGUAACGGCGAGUGAACAGGGAACAAGCUCAAAGUUGGAAUCUAUCUGGCUUAGCCAGAUCGAAUUGUAAACUUUAGAGUCGUUGUCCAGACCAGCCGAGUAAAUAAGUUCCUUGGAAUAGGACAUCAUGGAGGGUGAGAAUCCCGUCUUUGGCUUGAGCAUUGGUCUUUUGUGAUGCGACUUCAACGAGUCAGGUUGUUUGGGAAUGCAGCCUUAAUUGGGUGGUAAAUCUCACCUAAAGCUAAAUAUUGGCGAGAGACCGAUAGCGAACAAGUACCGUGAGGGAAAGAUGAAAAGAACUUUGAAAAGAGAGUUAAACAGUAUGUGAAAUUGCUAAAAGGGAACCGUUUGAAGUCAGUCUGGCUGGUCUGCAAUCAGCUUCAACUUUGGUUGGAGUGCACUUGUAGGCCAUUUUGCCUGCCAACAACAGUUUGUUCUGCAGCAAAAAGGUGUUGAGAAUGUAGCUUUCUCUUUGGAGAAAGUGUUAUAGCUCUUCGCGAAAUACUGUGGUUCAGACUGAGGCUUGCAGUGAAUGCUAUUUUGGCUUUGGGGAUGGAUUGCUCAGUGCUUUGCUUGGUUAGUUUUCGGCCGUCAAACGUCGUGCUGGCUAAAUAAAGUCUGACUCGGUUCAUUCACUUUUAAUUCACUUUGGUUGUGGCUUAAUGA